rnacentral:lncRNA from 1 species
GGUAUGAAUUUCAUAGACCAUACACUUAGAUUACUUAGAUGUUUAUGAAAUGAAAGUGUAUGUGUGUAUGUGUGUGUGUGUGUGUGUGUUUGUAUACACUGAAUUUAAUUUAUAAUUGUACCUCAUAGCAGAAAACUGAACCUUAGCAGAUAGGGUCCCUUCAAAUUUUUCCUAUUUUAGUAAGCUUAGGGCUCCUUCCUAUUCCUAUCCCCACUGCCCCACUGUGGCAUAGAUUCUAAAUGUAAGGGAAUAAAAGCAGUCUAAUGGAACGUGGUAAAAGCAAGCUGCAAGAAUCUAGUCCUUGCAUUACAUCUAUCCAUAGCUAGCAUCUGCUGAGAUGACCAUUAAGAAUAAAAAUAGCUAACAUAUAUGAAACACUCAUAUAACCCUAUGCUAGGUCCUUUACAUAUCUGAAUUCACCCAGCCUUCAUAACAGCCCGUGAAGUAAGUACUAUUAUUACAAUGUGCAUUUUAUAGAUAGGAAAACUGAUGCACAGAGUUUAAAAACUGGGCCAGGUUUAUGCAGCACUUAAGAAACAGAGCUGGAGUUUGAACGCAAUACUGGAACUCUGGAACUUCAGCUUGGAAUCUCUGUGCUCGGCAGGCUCUCCUGCUGUCUACUCCUUCCAUAUAAGCCUCCACAUCAGCACAAGCUGAAGCUAUUGUAUUAUAUUUGGAAGGUAAUGUGACGCAUUCCACAGCGGCUUCCUCAUCCCUCCCUCUGCAGACUGCUGGUUCUCUAAGUCCCGACUGUGCCACUCAUGUGCAAUACAUGUGGUAUAAAAUGACUUGUCUGCUCACUCCUAGAACCUAUUGAGGUUUACAGGGCCUCUGGGCCUCGUGUCCAUCAGCCAAAUAACUCACGUAAACAUCACUAUGUAUUCACAGGGUCAUGGUUUUGGGAGUGUUCUAAAUGUUUAAAGUAUUCCAAUCAGAAAGCUGGAUGCUCUGUCACUCUACCCAGGAGUGCAGUCAGAAUAAUCUCUAAUUCAAGAGGACACUGGUCCAUGGCUAUCUUUCUUUUCUUACUGUAUCUUGUAACUUCUGUGGUGCUUUAUCGAGAUUUACCAGUGACCCAAUUCCAGAAUCCCAACAUGAAGGGCUGCUUUCCAGACUCUGUGUAACAAGCUGUCCUGGUUUGGCUUCACUGUGAAAGCCAAACCAGAGAUGGCCCUGGAUUGAUUUGCCAAAGAUCCACCCAGGAAUCCUGACUCAUUAAAGAAGGGUGGAGAUUUUCUGAGCUAAGCGAGAGACCUUUCCUCAGAGGUCAUUUUCUCUUCGACUUCUUCUGAGGCAACUCCUGCAGCCAGCCCCCAAAGACAGAAUCAGAUAAUAGGAAUUCAAAAACCUAACUUAACUGUGAGCCAUGUUACAAGGUUCAAGACCUUCAGCAACAGCCAGUUUUACUAAGUUACUAAUAGUCAAGGAGACACAGGAAGAAGAUGGCCAUCUAAAAGUCAAAAGAAGAAGCCUGGAACAGAUUUUUCCCUCACAGUUCUCAGAAGGAGCCAGUGGUGCCGACAACUUGAUCUAGUCUCCAGAGCUAUACCACAACCAAUUCCACUUAUUUAAGCCACCUAGGUUGUGGUACCUCGCUACAGCAUCACCUAGAAAAUUAAUGCACCUUCAUUACCCAGAGAUAACCUCAGUAAACACUUACUAUACAUUUAAAAAUCUGUGGCCUAUUUCUGUUUACUUAUUCAAAUAUUUUUUUUUCACAUAACACUAAAUUUUGAACAAAUUUUUCAGUCUAUGGCGGUGACGUCUUGUGCCCUACCCUGAAGUCCAUUUUUCCUUCCUCCCAGUAACAAUGCUCUAAUUUUAGUGCUCAAUCAAAAGAUAACAUUUGCAGCCUCCCUUGGGCCAUGUGCUUAUUUAUCUAAAUUCUGGACAAAAUGAUGUUAGCAGAAAUGUUGUAUUGGACUGUAAAGAACUGCAAAGUUUCUAAAAUUUUGCACUACUUGAAAGCAAAAAAGAAACCCUUCCACAGAAAGGUGGUUUUCUUGUCCCAGUUUUCUGAGUGCCAAUUCCCACAGGGCCAGAAGAGGAUGAGACACUUACAGAGCCUAAAACUUUUAUAAUGGUCAGUGAACCUGCACACCCUUUGUGUAGGACAGAAAUGCUGUUUCUACCUUGCAAGGCUGCUUCCUAUAAAAAAUUCUUAAAACGAUAGACCACCAGCCAACGUUUUGAGGAUGCAUUCAUAUUUUCAGAAUGACAGUAGGAAGAGAGGAAACUGAGCUCCAUACUAGUCCUGGCCUAUGCACCCCCCCAGACUUCUUUUAUGGCUGAGGAAAUUAAACUUCUUUAGUUAAAUCACUUAUUUUGGGAAUUUUCUGUGGUGCUGUCCAAUCCUAGGUCUAACUGGCAUGCAGUCAAUAAAACUUACAUUUAAAACUUCAUUUUUCAGCCGGGCACAGUGGCUCACAUGUGUAAUCCCAGCACCAAGUCAGGUGCAUCACCUGAGGUCAGGAAUUUGAGACCAGACUGGCCAACAUCGUGAAACCCUGUCUCUAUUAAAAUACAAAAUUAUUUUACUCUAUUAAAAAUACAAAAUUUAGCCGGGCGCGGUGGCGGGCACCUGUAAUCCCAGCUACUCGUAAGGCUGAGGCCGGAGAAUCAUUUGAACUCAGGAGGCAGAGGUUGCAGUGAGCCGAGGUGGCGCCAUUGCACUCCAGCCUGGGCAACAAGAGUGAAACUCCAUCUCAAAAAUAAAUAAAUAAAUAAAUAAAUAAAUAAAUAAAUAAAUAAAUAAAUAAAAUAAAAUAAAAUACUUCAUUUUUCAUAAUGACAAAGAAGUAAAUCAUAUAAUCAUACCAUCAUUUCCUUAGUUAAACCCAUUAUUGUACUCCCC